AGUGAACGCUGGCGGUAGGCCUAACACAUGCAAGUCGAACGGCAGCACAGUAAGAGCUUGCUCUUACGGGUGGCGAGUGGCGGACGAGUGAGGAAUACAUCGGAAUCUACUUUUUCGUGGGGGAUAACGUAGGGAAACUUACGCUAAUACCGCAUACGACCUACGGGUGAAAGCAGGGGAUCUUCGGACCUUGCGCGAUUGAAUGAGCCGAUGUCGGAUUAGCUAGUUGGCGGGGUAAAGGCCCACCAAGGCGACGAUCCGUAGCUGGUCUGAGAGGAUGAUCGGCCACACUGGAACUGAGACACGGUCCAGACUCCUACGGGAGGCAGCGGUGGGAAAUAUUGGACAAGGGGCGCAAGCCUGAUCCGGCCAUACCGCGUGGGUGAAGAAGGCCUUCGGGUGGUAAAGCCCUUUUGUUGGGAAAGAAAAGCGGCAGGUUAAUACCCCGCUGUUCUGAGGGUACCCAAAGAAUAAACACCGGCUAACUUCGU
rnacentral:rRNA from 1 species